rnacentral:rRNA from 1 species
GGGACACGUGGUAUCCUGUCUGAAUAUGGGGGGACCAUCCUCCAAGGCUAAAUACUCCUGACUGACCGAUAGUGAACCAGUACCGUGAGGGAAAGGCGAAAAGAACCCCGGCGAGGGGAGUGAAAAAGAACCUGAAACCGUGUACGUACAAGCAGUGGGAGCCUCUUUUAUGGGGUGACUGCGUACCUUUUGUAUAAUGGGUCAGCGACUUAUAUUCUGUAGCAAGGUUAACCGAAUAGGGGAGCCGAAGGGAAACCGAGUCUUAACUGGGCGUUAAGUUGCAGGGUAUAGACCCGAAACCCGGUGAUCUAGCCAUGGGCAGGUUGAAGGUUGGGUAACACUAACUGGAGGACCGAACCGACUAAUGUUGAAAAAUUAGCGGAUGACUUGUGGCUGGGGGUGAAAGGCCAAUCAAACCGGGAGAUAGCUGGUUCUCCCCGAAAGCUAUUUAGGUAGCGCCUCGUGAAUUCAUCUCCGGGGGUAGAGCACUGUUUCGGCAAGGGGGUCAUCCCGACUUACCAACCCGAUGCAAACUGCGAAUACCGGAGAAUGUUAUCACGGGAGACACACGGCGGGUGCUAACGUCCGUCGUGAAGAGGGAAACAACCCAGACCGCCAGCUAAGGUCCCAAAGUCAUGGUUAAGUGGGAAACGAUGUGGGAAGGCCCAGACAGCCAGGAUGUUGGCUUAGAAGCAGCCAUCAUUUAAAGAAAGCGUAAUAGCUCACUGGUCGAGUCGGCCUGCGCGGAAGAUGUAACGGGGCUAAACCAUGCACCGAAGCUGCGGCAGCGACACUAUGUGUUGUUGGGUAGGGGAGCGUUCUGUAAGC